ACUUCACAGCCCCCAGAACAGUAAGUUAAGUAAAUUUCUUUUCUUUAUUAAUUGCCCAGACUGUGGUACUCUGUUAUAACAACAGAAAAUAAGCUAAGAAGGAA